AUCCUGUACUGGAGGACCCUGAGUCAAUCACAGGAUCUAUAUGUCCUCCCGCCCUGCUAGCUACUGGAAACUCAUGACUCAGUGAGGAUGGCCCAACACAGCCUCCCUAGAUAUCUGAAUUUCCGUUUCCUUAGCUCCACUGUGAGGUGAAAGGGAACAAGACACAAGACAGGAGGAGGUGGAACCCUCAAGAGGAUCCAGCGCUCUCUUCUGGAUUCUGCUGGCAAUGAAAGCACACGGAGCAGAGAUAUACACGCAGGAAAAACACCCCCCCCCCAUACAUAAACAGAAACCUGAAUGAGCAAGAACGGUAUGGCCUGUUUAGAUUGCUCUGCAGUGUUCCUUGUUCCCACAGACAGAGCAGAAGGGGGCUCCCUGUAGCCGGGGAUCAGCCGCUCCGGGUCCAGGCACCUGUGAGGAUGCUGGGUCCGGGCUGCUCCUCGGUCGCGAAGCGUGGCUUGGGACCUCCCACCCUCCAGAACUGGUUGCAACCUCGCGAUCUGUGAGAAGCUCGGAGCCACCUGGAGGAAGAGAGCUUGCAGCAUGGAUCCCGCAAGGCCCCGCGCUCGGCCGCUCCCCGCCCCCCGGCAGCUACUUACAAACGAGGACAGGGACGGCAGGAGGAUGCGCAGCAAGUUGCACCCGAACACGAAGCUCAGCACCAGCAGCCACGCCCAGCGGUCCGUCUCGGACUCGCUCAUC
rnacentral:lncRNA from 1 species